rnacentral:rRNA from 1 species
GACGAACGCUGGCGGCGUGUUUAAUACAUGCAAGUCAACGAUUUUUAAGAUAGCAAUAUUUUAAAAAUAGUGGCGCACGGGUGAGUAACACGUAGAUAAUCUGCCUUUAGGUCUGACAUAACUCGUCGAAAGACGGGCUAAUAUCAGAUAAAACAAUAACUUGGCAUCAAGUAAUUGUCAAAGCUUCGGCGCCCAAAGAUGAGUCUGCGGACCAUUAGGUAGUUGGUGGAUUAACAGCCCACCAAGCCAACGAUGGAUAGCUGGUCUGAGAGGAUGAUCAGCCACACUGGAACUGAGACACGGUCCAGACUCCUACGGGAGGCAGCAGUAAGGAAUAUUGCUCAAUGGGAGAAAUCCUGAAGCAGCAACGCCGCGUGAAGGAAGAAGGGUC